GAUGAAGAACUCAGCGAAAUGCGAUAAGUAAUGUGAAUUGCAGAAUUCAGUGAAUCAUCGAAUCUUUGAACGCACAUUGCGCCCAUUAGUAUUCUAGUGGGCAUGCCUGUUCGAGCGUCAUUUCAACCCUUAAGCCUAGCUUAGUAUUGGGAAUCGACUUUACUGUCGUUCCUCAAAUUCAACGGCGGAUUUAUAGCAAUCUCUGAACGUAGUAAUUUUUUUCCUCGUUUUUGAAAUACUAUAAACCUCAGCCGCUAAACCCCCAAUUUUUCUAUGGUUGACCUCGGAUCAGGUAGGAAUACCCGCUGAACUUAAGCAUAUCAAUAAGCGGAGGA
rnacentral:misc_RNA from 1 species